rnacentral:rRNA from 1 species
ACAACGACUCUCGGCAACGGAUAUCUCGGCUCUCGCAUCGAUGAAGAACGUAGCGAAAUGCGAUACUUGGUGUGAAUUGCAGAAUCCCGUGAACCAUCGAGUCUUUGAACGCAAGUUGCGCCCGAAGCCAUUCGGCCGAGGGCACGCCUGCCUGGGUGUCACGCA